GCAGGGGGAAUCCAUUUCCGCUGCACAGCGAGGUAAGGACGGAAACGGAGUUAACGUCAGUUGUGAAGUCGCCACAAACAUGUUGCGAAAGUUCGGAGAAGACGUUUCGGAAGAUUUUUUAAUAAUUUAUUUACUGGCUCAACAUGACAGCAUGUAGAUGGACAUGAAAGCAGCUUGAAAAAAAGCAAAGGACAAAAAGAAAACAGUUAUGGAGGAAAGGGAUUUACCUGCGAGAAAACCGGACACUCAAAAGAAGCAGGAUUCACACUACAUAGAAAAAACAGGGGGUGCAUCAAAGUCUGUGGAGAAAAAAGGCCCUUAUAUCAUGUCGAAGUCAGCACUGCUUCAUCUCAAGCUUCAAAAGCACAGAGACACUGCAAGGAACGCUCUGAAGAAAAAAGGAAUAGGUGGUUCUGUUCAGCAUCCUAAUCCUAGUGUGAAAAGUCAUAGGAAUGUGAAGUUUAACAAGGGUUAUGCAGCUUUAAGCCAGAAUCCAGAGGAUACACUUGUAUCUAUUGAUUCAGAUAGUGAAGCAGAAUUGGAAUCUCAGUACUCUUCAGGAUAUUCCUCUGCAGAAGUAAAUCAAGAGCUUAACAGACAAUUAUUGCAAGAUGGAUAUAGACUGGAUGAGAUUCCUGAUGAUGAGGACCUUGACCUGAUUCCACCAAAGCCUGUGUCUGCCUCAUGUGCUUGUUGCUGCAUUGAUGUUCCCUCCUGUACAAUUCAAUAAUUUUUUCCAGAGGUUGAGAAACGCUUAUCUUCCUUUUGCAGUGAAGCCUCCAACCUGAUUAAAUGUUACAGAAAGCUGAAUGAACACUAUUGUUACAAAAUUAUCUAGUAUGAAGGAGUGUCAGCUUUAAAAUCUGCACAAGUUUUUUUUUCCAAAAAGAAACACAUAGCUAUACUUUCUUUUCAUUAAAUAUUCUGAAUUAUAUCAGAAAUUGCUCACUUAAAAAUAAACCUGUAACUUAACAGCAUAGUGACACUGUUUUGACUGUUUUAGUCUGAGUUGUGUAAUUACAGUAAGUAUUGUACAGUUUUAUUGAAAAUAUAACACUUUGAUUCACUCAUUGCUUAGAAUAUAAUUAUAUAAUCAUGACUGACUUAAAUGUAUUCUACAUAUUUUUUUCCUGUACAUUUUAUUUCUUAGACCAAGAGCCAAUUUGGUCAAGUCUUCAACUUUAGAAUACUGGUUCAUGUUACUGUAAUCACCAUCAUUUCUUCUUCUUCCUCUUUAUCUUUUCCCACUUCUAUGUUUUGGCAUUUUAACCAGACUUGGGAGCAGAUCCAAAAUGGACACUGGGUUACUGCAAUCACCAUGUAUUAACAGCAAAACUUUAUAGAAGAGCCCUGUAGUGCUGCCCUGCCCUGUAGUGACUUCAGGGCUCAUUAUAUUGGACCAGAAACACUACAAAUUGAGCGCCAGUGGAGUGGAAAAUGAAAAGCUAUUGUCACGUGCAUCAAGUCUCAACAUUCACAUUUAUACAUAUGCAUUUAGCCCUUUUGCAUCCAUAAAAAAUAACAGUUUAGUUAUUCAAGUUUUAGAAUUUCUUGUUACAGUAAGGUACAUAUAUAGUAAAGUACUUUCAAUCCAGGUUUUGCUAACAUGACUUUUUACUGGAGGACUGCAAUGUAUAAACAAAGACAUGUCAGAUGGAACUGCUGUUUUAGUAUUCAUGCUUAACAAUUAUUCAGUCAUGGAUACAGUCCGUUUUUGUCAGCUAAUCAUUCAAAGUACAGUUUAAAAUAAUUAUUCAUUAGGAUUUAAUCCUUUUGGACAUAAUGGUGUCUUCAUCUGCUAUUGCUUAUCUCAUGUGGGCUUUGGAGAUAAAUGUAAAUGAAAAGAAGCAAAGUAAGGAAGAUGCUGUAACAAUUUGGAUGUAACCCAUGUUAUUUAUAUUUAAGCUUCUCAGUGGCCUUAGUGAGCUGAACCCUGUCUUAAGACCUCUGUGUCACUGUUGCCAAGUCUGGUUGAAAAUGUGCUUUACUGUGGCAGAAAGACAACCCUGGCUGAAAUACAUUUACACAAGCCAUUAUGAAAGCCUUACAUGAUGAAGUCAGCACACUUAGAAAUUACCUGCACUGCUGAGUAUUUUUGAUUGUGUGCAAACAAACGUAUGACACCAGCACUGUGUGUAACUGACAGUAUGUAUAAGAUUUUUUUUAUAUUUGGGUAUAUGUCUGUGCAGUGUGUUGUACAAGUUUUGGAGUCUGGCAUUAUGGAAGUCCGAAAGGUAAGAAAAAGUACUUUGAGGGAAGAUGACAAGAUGAUGGAAUUGUUUUUAAGUCGUCAAAUGAAAAAGUCAUUGUGUUUGUAAUACAUACUUAUAAAAAAAAAAAA